UGGGGGAUAUUGCGCAAUGGGGGCAACCCUGACGCAGCAACGCCGCGUGAAGGAUGAAGGUUUUCGGAUUGUAAACUUCUUUUAUUAAGGACGAAAAAUGACGGUACUUAAUGAAUAAGCUCCGGCUAACUACGUGCCAGCAGCCGCGGUAAUACGUAGGGAGCAAGCGUUGUCCGGAUUUACUGGGUGUAAAGGGUGCGUAGGCGGCUUUGCAAGUCAGAUGUGAAAUCUAUGGGCUCAACCCAUAAACUGCAUUUGAAACUGUAGAGCUUGAGUGAAGUAGAGGCAGGCGGAAUUCCCCGUGUAGCGGUGAAAUGCGUAGAGAUGGGGAGGAACACCAGUGGCGAAGGCGGCCUGCUGGGCUUUAACUGACGCUGAGGCACGAAAGCGUGGGUAGCAAACAGGAUUAGAUACCCUGGUAGUCCACGCUGUAAACGAUGAUUACUAGGUGUGGGGGGUCUGACCCCUUCCGUGCCGGAGUUAACACAAUAAGUAAUCCACCUGGGGAGUACGGCCGCAAGGUUGAAACUCAAAGGAAUUGACGGGGGCCCGCACAAGCAGUGGAGUAUGUGGUUUAAUUCGAAGCAACGCGAAGAACCUUACCAGGUCUUGACAUCCAACUAACGAAGUAGAGAUACAUUAGGUGCCCUUCGGGGAAAGUUGAGACAGGUGGUGCAUGGUUGUCGUCAGCUCGUGUCGUGAGAUGUUGGGUUAAGUCCCGCAACGAGCGCAACCCUUGCUAUUAGUUGCUACGCAAGAGCACUCUAAUAGGACUGCCGUUGACAAAACGGAGGAAGGUGGGGACGACGUCAAAUCAUCAUGCCCCUUAUGACCUGGGCUACACACGUACUACAAUGGAUGUUAACAGAGGGAAGCAAGACAGCGAUGUGGAGCAAACCCCUAAAAACAUUCUCAGUUCAGAUUGCAAGCUGCAACCCGCCUGCAUGAAGAUGGAAUUGCUAGUAAUCGCGGAUCAGCAUGCCGCGGUGAAUACGUUCCC
rnacentral:rRNA from 2 species